AUAUUUUUCUCCUUAUUUUAAACCUUUUAUUUUGGUAUGUGUUGCAUUAGGGAAUGAAUAAAUGAUAGAGUAAAGAUAGGCAAUUUUAAUUAGUGAUAUGCCCUAAAUGUAUUCACAAACUAAUAAUACGUAUAUCCCUUUUAGAAUAUUUAUUUCUCUUAGAAAUACUAGUCCGUGUAGUAAGCAUGGGUUGAUGGGCCAAUAACCAUAAAAAAAAGUCACCGAAUACAACUUUACUACUCCACAUCCAAAACACUUGCAUUCGAUCACCUAAACAUUUGUCUCUACUCCCAUGACCUGCACAGAUCACACAUUGUGGCGUGUGCAGCUAGACUGAUAAACUACUAUGUUAUUUGUAACCUGCCAAUGGCAGCUAAACAAAUCGAGCCGGCUUGUGGCAGGCACAGGCAUGCAAAUUAAAGGUGCCGUCGAAAGAUCAGUUGAGAGAAACAGCGCACGGGACAGGGAGUCUAUCCUGGACGGGAUUGUGGGAAAGGAUGGAGCUUUUCAGUACGAAAAAAUAGCUUUGACACAUGUUGUCUCCUCUUGUUGUCACCAAAUGCCCCGGUUAUUCCUUUUCAGAUACCAAAAGGGCUCCUCGCUGAUUGCCUAUCUAUAUUCUAAAGCCAUCUCGUCCCUGAGGAGCAGGGCAUCAUGGCUUGAAAGAAUUUAAUGGCGACCUGCAAAGAAAGAUGAUAAGAAAUGUCAGAAAUAAUUCGAGAUGGUAAGAAACGAUAGAAAUAAUUGGAACUGAGUAAUUACCAUUACUGGAUGCAGAAAAGAUUCUGCUAAGCCAUGGUUACUGAAGUUCAACGAGGAAAGCAUGUGUUGUAGAUGCU
rnacentral:lncRNA from 1 species